GUUGGUGUAGCUCAGUAGUAGAGUGCAUGCUUUGUAUGUAUGAUGUCCUGGGUUCAAUCCUGGUGCUGUCA